AGAUAAAAUAAAGUAUAUUCUGUGUCUACUUUGGUUUGGUGGUGUUGGAAUCUAUUGCAUUUCAUGGCCAAAUGUCAUAUUCUACUUUCGGUGCCUUUUAUGGGGAUGUGGCUCUUUUUUAUAUUUUAACACUGCCUUCGACAACUUAAAGAUUUAGGUUUCCAAGAAGUGUCAUAAUAUUAUUCUCGAAUUUUAUUUUUAUUUUUUUCUCUUUUCACAUUGUUUUU
rnacentral:lncRNA from 1 species